rnacentral:rRNA from 1 species
GCUGGCGGCGUGCCUAACACAUGCAAGUCGAACGGUAACAGGGACUUCGGUCCGCUGACGAGUGGCGCACGGGUGAGUAACGCGUGGGUUACCUGCCCAUCAGUGGGGGACAACUACCGGAAACGGUAGCUAAUACCGCAUACGUCCUACGGGAGAAAGUGGGGGAUCUUCGGACCUCACGCUGAUGGAUGGGCCCGCGUCUGAUUAGCUUGUUGGUGGGGUAAUGGCCUACCAAGGCAAUGAUCAGUAGCUGGUUUGAGAGGAUGAUCAGCCACACUGGAACUGAGACACGGUCCAGACUCCUACGGGAGGCAGCAGUGGGGAAUUUUGCACAAUGGGGGAAACCCUGAUGCAGCGACGCCGCGUGCGGGAAGAAGGCCUUCGGGUUGUAAACCGCUUUCAAUUGGGAAGAAGAGAUGAGAGUUAAUACCUCUCUGAUUUGACGGUACCUUUAGAAGAAGCUCCGGCUAAUUUCGUGCCAGCAGCCGCGGUAAUACGAAAGGAGCAAGCGUUGUUCGGAUUUACUGGGCGUAAAGCGGGCGUAGGUGGUUUGUUAAGUCGGAUGUGAAAUCCCGGGGCUCAACCUCGGAACUGCAUCCGAUACUGGCAGGCUAGAGUUCGGGAGGGGGAAGCGGAAUUCCGUGUGUAGCAGUGAAAUGCGUAGAUAUACGGAGGAACACCUGAGGCGAAGGCGGCUUCCUGGACCGAUACUGACACUGAGGCCCGAAAGCGUGGGUAGCAAACAGGAUUAGAUACCCUGGUAGUCCACGCCCUAAACGAUGUCAACUAGCCGUUGCGGGUAUCGACCCCUGCAGUGGCGAAGCUAACGCAUUAAGUUGACCGCCUGGGGAGUACG